rnacentral:rRNA from 1 species
GUGCCAGAAGCCGCGGUAAUACGUAGGUGGCAAGCAUUGUCCGGAUUUAUUGGGCGUAAAGCGCGCGCAGGCGGCUAUGUAAGUCUGGUGUUAAAGCCCGGGGCUCAACCCCGGUUAGCAUCGGAAACUGCAGAGCUUGAGUGUAGAAGAGGAAAGCGGUAUUCCACGUGUAGCGGUGAAAUGCGUAGAGAUGUGGAGGAACACCAGUGGCGAAGGCGGCUUUCUGGUCUAUAACUGACGCUGAGGCGCGAAAGCGUGGGGAGCAAACAGGAUUAGAAACCCCUGUAGUCC